UACGGGGGGGGCAAGCGUUGUUCGGAAUUACUGGGCGUAAAGGGCUCGUAGGCGGCCAACUAAGUCAGACGUGAAAUCCCUCGGCUUAACCGGGGAACUGCGUCUGAUACUGGUUGGCUUGAGUUUGGGAGAGGGGUGCGGAAUUCCAGGUGUAGCGGUGAAAUGCGUAGAUAUCAGGAGGAACACCAGCGGCGAAGGCGGCGCUCUGGGCCGGUACUGACGCUGAGGAGCGAAAGCGUGGGUAGCAAACAGG
rnacentral:rRNA from 1 species